UUCUAUGGCCAUACCACCCUGAACGCGCCAGAUCUCGUCUGAUCUUGGAAGCUAAGCAGGGUCGGGCCUGGUUAGUACUUGGAGGAGAGAAAGCCUUGCAUUGCUAUAUACU
ensembl:rRNA 5S_rRNA 5S ribosomal RNA